AUUUAUAUAGUUUAAAGAAAACAUUACAUUUUCACUGUAAAAAUAAAGACAAAUCUUUUAUAAUUA
rnacentral:tRNA from 1 species